UGGAUCCACUGACUUGUUGGAGAUUGACAAGAGGCUUGGCUUGUUCCAAGAAAAAAAGACCAGUUUUCUGUCCGCACUGCCAGUCGUUUGUUUCAAGGAAACGAAGAAUCCGUCUGGAAUGGUCGGCAGUUUCUCACCAGGAUGAUGCAGAGUCUGUGUGGGACGAUGAGCAUGGCAACGAUGUUG